rnacentral:rRNA from 1 species
UUUGAAUCUGGCUCAGGACGAACGCUGGCGGCGUGCCUAAUACAUGCAAGUCGAGCGGACAGAUGGGAGCUUGCUCCCUGAUGUUAGCGGCGGACGGGUGAGUAACACGUGGGUAACCUGCCUGUAAGACUGGGAUAACUCCGGGAAACCGGGGCUAAUACCGGAUGCUUGUUUGAACCGCAUGGUUCAAACAUAAAAGGUGGCUUCGGCUACCACUUACAGAUGGACCCGCGGCGCAUUAGCUAGUUGGUGAGGUAACGGCUCACCAAGGCAACGAUGCGUAGCCGACCUGAGAGGGUGAUCGGCCACACUGGGACUGAGACACGGCCCAGACUCCUACGGGAGGCAGCAGUAGGGAAUCUUCCGCAAUGGACGAAAGUCUGACGGAGCAACGCCGCGUGAGUGAUGAAGGUUUUCGGAUCGUAAAGCUCUGUUGUUAGGGAAGAANAAGUACCGUUCGAAUAGGGCGGUACCUUGACGGUACCUAACCAGAAAGCCACGGCUAACUACGUGCCAGCAGCCGCGGUAAUACGUAGGUGGCAAGCGUUGUCCGGAAUUAUUGGGCGUAAAGGGCUCGCAGGCGGUUUCUUAAGUCUGAUGUGAAAGCCCCCGGCUCAACCGGGGAGGGUCAUUGGAAACUGGGGAACUUGAGUGCAGAAGAGGAGAGUGGAAUUCCACGUGUAGCGGUGAAAUGCGUAGAGAUGUGGAGGAACACCAGUGGCGAAGGCGACUCUCUGGUCUGUAACUGACGCUGAGGAGCGAAAGCGUGGGGAGCGAACAGGAUUAGAUACCCUGGUAGUCCACGCCGUAAACGAUGAGUGCUAAGUGUUAGGGGGUUUCCGCCCCUUAGUGCUGCAGCUAACGCAUUAAGCACUCCGCCUGGGGAGUACGGUCGCAAGACUGAAACUCAAAGGAAUUGACGGGGGCCCGCACAAGCGGUGGAGCAUGUGGUUUAAUUCGAAGCAACGCGAAGAACCUUACCAGGUCUUGACAUCCUCUGACAAUCCUAGAGAUAGGACGUCCCCUUCGGGGGCAGAGUGACAGGUGGUGCAUGGUUGUCGUCAGCUCGUGUCGUGAGAUGUUGGGUUAAGUCCCGCAACGAGCGCAACCCUUGAUCUUAGUUGCCAGCAUUCAGUUGGGCACUCUAAGGUGACUGCCGGUGACAAACCGGAGGAAGGUGGGGAUGACGUCAAAUCAUCAUGCCCCUUAUGACCUGGGCUACACACGUGCUACAAUGGACAGAACAAAGGGCAGCGAAACCGCGAGGUUAAGCCAAUCCCACAAAUCUGUUCUCAGUUCGGAUCGCANUCUGCAACUCGACUGCGUGAAGCUGGAAUCGCUAGUAAUCGCGGAUCAGCAUGCCGCGGUGAAUACGUUUCCCGGGCCUUGUACACNCCNCCCGUCACACCACGAGAUUUNUAACACCCNGAAUUCGNUGAGGUUACNUUUUAGGAGCCAGCCCGCCNAANGUGGGANANAUNAUGGGGGUGA